rnacentral:tRNA from 1 species
UGGCUCAGUGGUAAAGAAUCUGCCUGCCAAGCAGAAGACAUGGGUUCAACCCCU